ACGCGUGUAGCUCAACAGCAGAGCACCGGUUCGACACGCCGGAGAUCAGGGUGCGACUCCCUGCUCGCGUA
rfam:Archangium gephyra strain DSM 2261, complete genome.